GGAGUUGCUCUUAUCCAAGGGGUCCAAAAGAGAAAUUUCCUAUAAAAAAAAAGACAAAUUGUAAAAAAUUGAGUGCACGAAGUCCCCAAUCACCUUCCCCCCUUCGCAUUUCGUUCGCCGCCAUCGACGCCGGCACACAACAAUCGAGACCCCAGCCUCCGUCCGCCGUAGUUUUCUCUCGUCCAGGGUCGACCCCUUCGUCGUCGUCCUCCUCCGUUCCGCUAGCACCACUGUGGCGGAGCGGAGAUCCACUCAUCCGGACUUAGACUGGUUCCCAUCUCCUCGUGGUGGUAAGAGUUCAGUACCGGGCUCGGGUGCCCCUCCCCCAUGUCGCACGUCGAGCCCACCGCCGUCGGCGCGGACCAGGCCGGCGAGGGGGUGGUCUUGCCGCACGGCGAUGGUGUCGGUGGCAGCGGGGGUGAUGUGGCAACCGCGGAAGCGCAAGUGGCUGUUGCCGUUUCCACCUCCGGCGACGAGAGGCGGGGCGAUUAUGGCGACGAUGCAGAGAACGAGGAGGAGGAGGCCGCAACGGUGCAGGGCAGCAAGGAGGGCACGGAAGAGCUGCUCCGGAAGGUGGUGUACAGCGAAGAGGCCGCCUACAAGCUCUACUGCGAUUACGGCCACCGCAUGGGGUUCAGCAUCCGGAAAGGGAAGCAGUCCUACUUCACCGGCACCAAGCGGAUACGCACAAAGGACUACUUCUGCUCCAAGGAGGGGCUCAAGGAAGGGGAGAAGCUCACCGAUACAAAUUUCAACGACCCCCACACCAGGACCAAUUGCAGGGCCAUGGUGCGGUUCAGGGUGAAUGAUCAGGGGGAGUGGAAGGUUAUCCGACUGGUAUCUGAUCAUAACCACAACCUUGCAAAGCCUGAGGAACGACACCUUUUGCGUUCUGCAAGGUCACUUAUAGCAGGGCGGUCGAGUUCUGUGGAGGCGAUGUUGUAUGGGGGUUAUCAGGUGCAACCACAAUUGCCUGCAGGGAGUACUAGUGCAACCAACAAUGUGGAGAAUCCGAAGCAAGAUUUGCUCCUUGGCUAUGGUGCUACAGCAAAGACGCUGACUGUAGGGACUGCGGACGUGCAGAGCCUUGUGAGUCACCUGAAAAGCAGGGCAAAUGAAGAUGGCAUGUUCUACUGGGAUGUUCAAUUGGACCGAGGUGGUCGGAUGACUAAUUUCUUUUGGCGUGAUGGGAGGAGCAGGACCGACUAUGACUGUUUCGGUGAUGUGGUCGUGUUUGAUUCAACUUAUCGCUUGAGCAAACAGAACCUGGUAUUUGCACCUUUUGUUGGUGUCAACCAUCAUUGGCAGACCACUAUGUAUGGCUGCGCGCUCUUAGCUGACGACUCUACUUCAUCUUUUGUGUGGCUGUUCAAGUCUUUCUUGGAGUCCAUGGGGAACCGGCAUCCACAAUCUAUUUUCACAAAUCUAGAUCAAGUUGUGUCAAAAGCAGUUGAGGAGGUUUUCCCAAAUGCAUGUCAUCGCAUUGCUCACUGGCACAUCCAAAAGAAUGCUCAGUCUCGUCUUGGUGCUCUUAAUGUUUCAAAACCGUUCAAUAAGAUGUUCACCAAGUGCAUACAGGGAUGUGACUCGGAAACAGAGUUUGAGGAAACAUGGGCUCAAAUGCUCUGUGAAUUUAAGUUGCAGGAUAACAAAUGGCUUAAAAAACUAUAUAAGCUCAAGCAGAAGUGGUGUAGUGCUUUUAACAAGUGCACCUUUGAUGGUGGGAUUGAGUAUGAACCACAAUGUGACAAUAUGAGCAACAUAUUUAAUAAUGUUUCUGAUAAGUUGACUUCUCUUGGUGCAAUUGCUGUUGCUGUGGAUAAACAGACUGAAGAUUGGAGGGAAAAAGAAUUGGAUGAGGAUGCACGGUGUUUGCAAAAGCCACCUGCUUGUAUCAUCAAACACAGUGAUAUUUUGAAUCAUGCAGCAAAGGUUUAUACACAUAGAAUCUACAAAUUGUUUGAGACAGAUUUUCUGGACGGGUGUGGCGCCACAAAAUUCAAGGAGCUUCCGUGUCAAGAUAGCAACACAUAUCAAUUUGAGAUGACCAUGCAAGGGCGAGGAUCAAGAGUUUGCACAGUUCGUUUCAAUAUGCCUACGAUGCGAUUAAGUUGCAGCUGCAGUAAGUUUGAGACAAUGGGUUUACUUUGCCCACAUGCUCUGAAAGCUCUUAGCAUCAAGAAUAUAUGCAAAAUUCCAGAAAGUUACAUACUGAAGCGGUGGACCAAGGAUGCGAAGAAAUGGGUUUUCAACCCAAAACAGUAUGAAUCAUCAUAUCAGGAAUGUAUGAAUAAUGAAGCUGCAUACUGCAACUAUGUUAUGAGGUAUGCUUAUGAUCUUGUCACGAAGAGCCAAGGGCAGGAGGCAUUAAGGAAAGUGCUGUGGGAGAAUCUUGAGAGUGGUGAGAAAGAAUUGGAGAGUUACCUAGAAAACGUUACCCAACAUGCACCUUCAUACCCACUUGAAAGAAUCACUAAUUAACCUCCUGGACUUAUCUGCUGAGGAUGAACAAGAUACUUCCUUGUUCUUUGGGAGAUGCAUUCAGAAUGUCUCUUAAACUGUACUCUUAAGAGAUGAAAACAGAUGCUUAUCAAAGAUACAAGCUUGAGUUUUCACUUGUACAAAGAGUGUUAUUGAAGUGAAUUUUCUCCAUGAGUCAUGGCAUGAACAACUGCGACAACUUGUGGCAAAGAAUAUCUUGUUUCUACAGCUUCAAAUGUACAGCAUAGAUAAUCAUGAAAGCAGAAAAGAUUCCAGAUCCCCACUCACCAAAAAAAAAAAAAACUGACACUCUACUUCCCUCCAUAAACAGCGACGCUGCUAUGUCUGCCUUCAUCAUGGCGGGUUACGUCAUUGAGCUCAGCUUCUGCCCAUAUAGCAUAGGCCUCCUCACCAUGUACAGCAUCAUCCCCGAUAAGCAGCUGUUCAUCAGAGAUUCGGAGGGGCAGGACUAGGCCAAUAAGAACACAGAUUAUGGAAGUGAUAACGAUGUUCCAGGCAAUGACGAAGAGUGCGCCAGCAAUCUGCUUCCCAAACUGUGAUCCACCAUCACCACCAUAAAAUGCACCUCUGGAUUCCUGGAUGGAGAGGAAGAGGUUGCAGAGGACGGGCUCAGCAAAAAGUCCCGUAGUGGUGCCGCCGAGGAGCCCAGCCACCGCGUGGGUGUGGAAUACGCCAAGGGUGUCGUCGAUCCUCUGCAUGAAGGACCAUUUCUUGUGCAGUACCAUCAUAGUGUACCAGGGGAUGCUACCAGAGAGAAUUCCCAUCACAAUAGCUGCCCACCCUUGCACCAGGCCUAUUUGAAUGAAAGAUAUUUGUUAGUUAACCAAUUAAAAUGGAGAAUAGACUAACUAUGGAGACUGUUGUACUGGUUUGCUACAUAUUAUAUACCUGUACCAUGAAAUUCUUGAUGUCCCCUUUGUCAGUUUGACUAUUAUAUUAUGGAUUUAUUUUUGUUCA